rnacentral:lncRNA from 1 species
UAAUGUAGAAAAUUUUGGGUUUAUCAGAAAAGGCAAAUGUUAUAUAUGUGUUUAUGUGCAUGAUGAAUUGUAUAUUCUGACAGAAAAGGAGGAUACAGCAUUUUCACAGUGGAAAUAUUACCUUGGGUUUUGAAGGUAUUUAAGGUUCUUUCAAUAAUGAUAUUCUAACACUUUAAAUAUAUGACUUAAUUUUAGUAAUUGGUUUACAUAGGACUUUUGAAGAAUAUAGCUCUUAUGUAAAGUGGCAUACAAUUUUAUAAUUGUACUUAGCUAUUAUUGUAGAAAAGCUGAAAUAGUGUCUGUUAUUUAAACCAUUUUCAUGUUAUCUCAUUUGAACCUAGUAAGCAAUUUUGAAAUAGAAAGGAAAUGAUGUAUUUCCAUUUUAGAGAGAUACUGAGAGUCAUUUAGAGUCAUUUGACUCUACUCUCAUGCCAGAACUGCCUUGAGUGGAAGGAGGAGACACAUGGCAUUAAAAAGGCUUACUAUGUGCAGGACUGUGUUCUCCAGUUCCUAACGCAGUCUGCAGGUAGACAGUAGAAUAUUUAGGAAGAAAUGAGGAAACCCAUAAUAAUGAAAAGAUUACUGUUCCCUCUAGUUUCCAAAAAUGUAAGAACAUGGAUUUGAGAAAACUGAAUGUAUAAAUAUUUUAAGUUAGCACAAAAAUUAUAAAAUAGACCCUACUCUUCUUAGUUGUCCUUUUUAUGACUCUAAAAUCAUUAUUUUGUAACUAUGGUUAAAAUUUUGAAUCUCACACGUACGUUUAGCCUCAUUGUGAAUAUUUUGUGGGUAUAAUUUAUUGUUUUAAAUUAAUUUUGGUAGAUACGUUAGCACUUAAUCUGUAAAUUGAAUAAGUUAUUGAGUGCAGAAAUUUAUUAACUUACUGUCACUGACUUAAUGCACCAAAGAUUUUGAGUAGGUAUUGAGUAGUUGAAAAGAAUUUAAAUUCUUUGUUGUUUGACUAUAUAUUUGUCCAAAGAAGCACAGCUGACGUCCUUGGAUACUGAAUUUUAAAAAUUGUUAGUUUGAAUACUAAGAUUAAGUAUUAAAUGUUUGUGUUUAUGUGUAUAAAAUAAGUAGAGGAAAGUACUCUGGGAACAUUCAUACUGACCAACCAGUUACAAGUGAGAAUACUCAUUUCUCUCAGUUUAGUUGAAUGCAGUUUUUUUUUUAAAUGAACACUAUUCAAUAAUCUUAUAUUUUACACUACAUUAUAAAAAUAAUUUCUGCCUUAGAGGUUUUUUGUUUGUUUGUUUUUUAGAUCAAAUCGAGGUUAUUUUUAUAAGAAAUCCCUUUGGUUUUGACAGCCUAAAAUACUACGUAACCAUAGGGUUUCUUCCUCAUGCCAGCAAGAUACCUUUAAGCUAUUAUAAAAGUAGUAAAGUUUGCAGGCUUAAUCUAGAGCCUUUCUGCUGGGCAAAGAGGAAUAAAAAUACCAUUUAAACUGGUGCUUUAAUAAACUGACUGCCUUUUAAUGAUGGUAGCAUAAAAGAAGUACACUGCUUUCUUUCAACCUUAAAAAGUGUCAAAAAACACCUUUUUGGAGUGACUGUAAAGUAUUAAGGGCUAAUCUGUUCCACCUAUUGCUUUCUCACUCAAUCACAAGUUACCUAAACACAACUAACCUGCUGUGUCUAUGAGCUUGAGUGUUCUUCCUACAAUAUCACUCUAAUUUAUUAUUUAUCAAGAGGUUUGAACAUUAGUUAAGAGUGUCCUUUUAGACCAUCUUUUCUGAAUUUGAAUACUUUGUACUUUUUCAGAGAUGUGUAGUUGUGUAGCAUUUUCUCUGUUGCCUAGAUUGUACUGGUAAAUAAAUGACUUGUUCAUUUUGUUUUAUUUUUUGGUUCUGAGUCUUAAUAUCCCUGUUGCCUGCUGGCUGGGCAAUAGCCUUUUACAUGUUAUAUUAACUUAGGAAAAUUGGCAUUUCGCAGUAGUGUGGACAUCGGUCUUUAUUAUAAUUUACAUGUCUUCUUUUAAGUUUGUACUGUGGCCUUUAUAGCUAUGGAGUCACUCCUCAGCCUGUCUAGAUGUUGAGCAGAAUCGGAGAGAAGGAAUUGUAUGUCUGCUCCUCUUGUUACUCUUUCUCUCUGACUGCUCUCCCCUUAAGGAACUUGUUACCAGGAACACACAGCUCUGCACCGGAGACUUAGUUCACUUUCCUUGAACUGAACGUGGUUGGUGGUGUAAGAAGAGCUGCUGUUAGUGAGCGGCGGCAUCCUAGUCAACAUUGAACUUGAGUUGAUGACUCAGGAAAAAGCACGACUUUUCAACAGUCAUGUUUGGACAUAUUUAGUGCCAAAUUUCAAAAGACUGAAAAUGAAUAAUUUAAUAAGGAAUAAGUACUGUUUCUUAAUUUUUAAGUGGAAUUAUGUUAAAUGUUACCUACUAUUAGUGUGAGUAAUGAAUUGAGAGUAAUUUUCUACACAGCUUAUAGGAACUUGACAAUUCUGCAUAUCCCACUCAUUUCUUUUGCCUGUUUUCCUUUUAGUAAUCUCUGUGUGUUCUUUUUUGGUGUCUUUCCAUGUUUCUUAUAACAUUUUUACUUACAAUACUUUCCCUUGUGUUAUCAGCAUGUCUUGCGCUUCCUCUUUGGAAGUGGGUUAUUAUUACAAAAGCAAUAGGAUUAGAUUGAUUGUGUGGGAGAUGAGAAGACGGUGAUUUGGCAAGGAGGGUGUGCUUACGUUCGACUUAUUCGUGUUUUAACUUACUGUAUAUUGGUCUUAAGUCUGUGAUCUUUGAAAGAUCCCCAAGCCACUUAUUUAAAGAGAAUUUAAAGAUGUUAUUUGGAGAACAAAUGUUACUUAAAGAUGAAAACCUUCUGAAUUCUCAAGUAAAGCUAAGCAAUUUCAAAAUUUGCAUUACUGCCGGAGAUUCUGAAACGUCUCUUGAAUGAAGAGCAUGUGUACAUCUCAUUGUCACUAUGCCUCUCUGUUUGAUAUUCCUGCUUGUAUAAAGUUGAAUAAUGUACUGUGGUGUGAUUACUGAACUUUAUCCUUUUAACAAUCCGACUUUUCUCCUUGUAACUAUUAACAGUUGAUGAGGGUGAUUGCCAAAAGCUAGGUGUUUAGCUGCUCUGUGUUCUGUCAUAACUGUUCUAUUUAAGGGAGAAAUGGUAUAUAUUGAAAUAGAAAUGCUUUUGUUUUCUGUCUCUAAUCAGAAUCUUUGUUUUUAAUUAAGGACAGUUUUAAAAGCAAUUACAAAGGAAAAUCUAAAAUAUCAAAAUUCAUUAUUUUUCACUGUAUGACAAAUGUCUUAAGUUUAGUAGAUAUUUUGUUUGUCUCGUGUUCCUUAAAUAUAAAUGUAUAGCAAAAAUUCAGUUCCUUGUGAGGAGUAGAUGAGGUCUUGCAUAUUAAAUUAGUUCCUUAUGUUAUUUUGAUAUUUAAAAUAAACAGUUCUUUGGUCCUAGU